rnacentral:rRNA from 1 species
UACGUAGGGCGCAAGCGUUGUCCGGAAUUAUUGGGCGUAAAGAGCUCGUAGGCGGCUUGUCACGUCGGAUGUGAAAGCCCGAGGCUUAACCUCGGGUCUGCAUUCGAUACGGGCUAGCUAGAGUGUGGUAGGGGAGAUCGGAAUUCCUGGUGUAGCGGUGGAAUGCGCAGAUAUCAGGAGGAACACCGGUGGCGAAGGCGGUUCUCUGGGCCUUACCUGACGCUGAGGAGCGAAAGCAUGGGGAGCAAACAGG